rnacentral:SRP_RNA from 1 species
GCCGAGUUCUGUAGCUAGAGCUUGUAACCCGAGCGGGGGCGUUAAGGUGGCGUUUGAAUGCUUUGCGAUAAUUUCUGGGCCUUGGGCUCGUUGUGACAUUGGCCGGCUUGCCCAUCCCAAGUUGCUCACUGCCCACUUUCAACGGUGGCAGGAUAACAAGCCGCUGCACUUUGAGCCCGGCUCAGGCCCAGAACCUCACUAAGCAAACCACCAUCUUUUUUUUAUUUUUGCAUGCCCACUUUCACAACUGAUUUACCUUUGUUACUCAAUCCUAUCAUUAAUCUUCUCUUUCGUUGUUGAUACUGUUUGUUGGCAGGAAUGGCGUAAGGCUGGCUUCACAGAGCAGCGAUCACUGCCCACUUUCAACGGUGGGAGGAUAACAAGCCGCUGCACUUUGAGCCCGGCUCAGGCCCAGAACCUCACUAAGCAAACCACCAUCUUU